AGAGCCAGAGCAGAGCAAACUUCCAGAGCCAGAGGAGAGCAAACUUUCAGAGCUGAAAGUCUAGAGCAGAGCAGAGAUGUUUUCCAGAGCUGGCGUUCAGAGGAGAACAGAGCCAAGCUCGCGCCAGAACAGAAUGCCAGGGCAGAGCAGAAUAAAAUGCCAGAGCAGAGCAGAACGGAAUGCUAGAGCAGAGCAAAACAUAGUGCCAGAGCAGAUCAUAACAGAUUGCCAGAGCUGAGCAGAAUUCCAGAGCCAAAGCAGAGCAUGUUUUCCAGAGCUGGCGUCUGGUAAGCUAAGUUCCAGAGCUGACUGAAGUCCAGAGCAGAGCUAAGUUCCAGAGUUAUCAAAACUUGCCGAACAAGUUUCUUUUAAGUUUCCUUUGUUUUAAGUUGUUUCUUUAAUUAGAAUUAGGUUUAGUUUUUGCCUGCUGCAUGUCAACGAAUUAAUUAACCUUUGAUUUAUAAAAUUUGUAAGUUUUAUUC
rnacentral:lncRNA from 1 species